CCUACGGGAGGCAGCAGUAGGGAAUCUUUCACAAUGGGCGAAAGCCUGAUGGAGCAACGCCGCGUGCAGGAUGAAGGCCUUCGGGUUGUAAACUGCUUUUAUAAGCGAGAAAUAUGAUGGUAACUUAUGAAUAAGGAUCGGCUAACUACGUGCCAGCAGCCGCGGUCAUACGUAGGAUCCGAGCAUUAUCCGGAGUGACUGGGUGUAAAGAGUUGCGUAGGUGGCAUAAUAAGUAGCUAGUGAAAUCUGGUGGCUCAACCAUUCAGACUAUUAGCUAAACUGUUAAGCUCGAGACCGUUAGGGGUAACUGGAAUUUCUAGUGUAGGAGUGAAAUCCGUAGAUAUUAGGAGGAACACCAGUGGCGUAGGCAGGUUGCUGGGACGGUUCUGACGCUAAGGCACGAAAGCGUAGGGAGCAAACGGGAUUAGAUACCCUUGUAGUC
rnacentral:rRNA from 1 species